rnacentral:lncRNA from 1 species
GGAAAGGCCACACGAGGACACAGCGAGAAGGGUUGGUUAAGAGCUGGGUGGACAGCACAAUCACAGGCGAUGAGACACGAAGGGAAGUUUGCUGGGGGCUCUGGGAAAGGCUGCUUGACUCUUACAAAGAGGCUUCAUGAGAUAGUGCCCCUGCUCUUUCUCUGGAGGUAGCUGGAUCUGAGAGUGAUGCCAGGACCUCUGCAGCCAUCUUGUGUUCAUGAGGAGAGUCUGCCCAGGGACAAAGCCAAUAUGCAGGGAAGAACACAGAGGAGCAGGUCCAGACCCCUGGAGGCAUCUCAUCAGGGCACCUUCCCCCUGGGCUUCCCACGAGGUGACACAAUGGAUGUCGUGAGCCUUUCAGGCAUCUAAGUCAGGAAGAUUGUUGCUGAGGUAACAUCUGUGCCAACCUUCCUCUAUUUUGCAUGUGGGAUGCUGCCACAGUGUGGCUUGAUAAGCAGUGUGUAGGCCCGACCCCAGGAUCCAAACUCGUGAUCCAGGGUCGUCAAAGCAGAAUGUGCGAAAUUAACCACUACACCACCGGGCCAGCUCCAGCUAUUUCCUUUUCUGUUUUCUAAAUUUAUAAACCAACUGCUUUAAUAAACAGCUUUUUAAAGAAAAUUUUUUCUACCAUUUGACACAUAUCCUCAGGUAGAUUCUCAGAAGCAGAAUUACAGGAUGAGAUGGUAUUAAUUUUUAGAGUUGCUUGAUUCAUAUUUUCAUUUGCCUUCCAGUUGGCAGCUCUACAGUCUUAA